UUGCUUCAGAAGCACAUAUACUAAAAUUGGAACAAUACAGAGAAGAUCAGCAUAGCCCCUGCACAAGGAUGACAUGCAAAUCUGUGAAGUGUUUCAUAGAUUU